AUUGAACGCUGGCGGAAUGCUUUACACAUGCAAGUCGAACGGCAGCCCGGACUUCGGUCUGGUGGCGAGUGGCGAACGGGUGAGUAAUUUAUCUGAACGUGCGCAGUCGUGGGGGAUACCGUAGUGAAACUUACGCUAGUACUGCAUACGAUCUAUGGCUGAUAGCGGGGGAUCGCAAGCCCUCUCGCGAUUGGAGUGGCCGAUAACAGAUUAGGUAGUUGGUGGGUUAAAGGCGCACCAAGCCAACGAUCGGUAGCUGGUCUGAGGAGGACGACCAGCCACAUUGGAACUGAGACACGGUCCAGACUCAUACGGGAGGCAGCAGGGGGGAAUUUUGGACAAUGGGCGAAAGCCUGAUCCAGCCAUUCCGCGUGCAGGAUGAAGGCCCUCGGGUUGUAAACUGCUUUUGUACAGAACUAAAAGGUUUCUACUAAUACUAGGAGCUCAUGACGGUACUGUAAGAAUAAGCACCGGCUAACUACGUGCCAGCCGCCGCGGUAA
rnacentral:rRNA from 1 species